ensembl:lncRNA
UGACAUCACAUCUACGUCAAAACUAUGGUCGGUCAGUCUCUUUUCUGGCUAGACGUCAGCCAUGUGACCGUCAUGGUCAGUUGUGUCUUAGUGGCUAACUGUCCUGACUUCACUAGCUCCUCUCUAAUCCUACAGCUUGUUAAUUGGUUUAGGCUGUUUCCUUUGUGGCAGACUGCGUCACAAAGUAAAGGUAACCUCAGCCCAGACAUAAGUAUAUUAACAUGGUUAAGUAAAAAUAGCUACGGGUGGCUAAAUAAAACUUCGAUGUAUGUGGAAGUGAGUAUUUUGGGCACCUGUGAUCUUGUUAUUGGCGUUAAAUUUAGCUCUGUGGUCCUCAGUGAGGAGUGGAAACAGUGACAGGGACCUGUUUUGCCACAACACACUUCCUGUGCACUGUGAGUAGUGAGUAAACCACAACCCAGUGACGCAACGUUCGGAAAAAAAAACAAAAAAAAACAGAGCGAGCAAAAGAAAAAAAAGAAAGUAACAAAGAAGAGAGGAAAAUCAGUAAUCAGGAAGUUGUGGCUUCAUUUGAAAAAGGAAAAUUGUUGACUGAACUGUAAAUGGAUACUGUAAGUGAACUUGUGUGAAUUUCCUGUGUGCGGACUUUCCCCUUUCAGAUAACACAAUGAUAAGUUUUCCACGUUCCUGGAUUCUCACUGUGGUUCCUGCAUCAAGCUCAGUCACACCUGCACAAAGUUACGAGCCGUGGACAAUGAUAUGCAGCAGCUUGGCAGCGACUGGAAAAUAUAAAAAGAAAGAAGGAGUUUCCGCCAGUGCCUGUCUACACAGAGACUGCUCGUUCCCUAAUAGUGCCAGCGUGCAGCAAUUCAUCUACGGCGCACUUGCGGGAUAGUCUUCAAGAGGCCGCUGUUCAUUAGCAUUACGCUAAUGUAUGUUGAUUGGUCGGUCAGCAUUCGCUUCAAUUGUGAAUUGAUGGCUUCAAUCAAAACAAAGUUGAUCAAAGUUGCCGACGGCUGAAAUUCUAUUGCGGGGCUAAAGAAAGGUCAGAAGAUCACCUGAGGUCCUGAGGUAAAGAGUUUUUAGCAGUGUUGAUGAGUGUGUGUGUGUGUGUGUGUGUGUGUGUGUGUGUGUGUGUGUGUGUGUGUGUGUGUGUGUGUGUGUGUGUGUGUGUGUGUGUGUGUGUGUGUGUUUGAGAAAAAAGGAAAACCUGUAUGAAAGCAGUCAAACCCACCGUCACUGCUCUCUCAGUCAGCUUCCCCUCAUAAUUUAUUGUUCUUCUCACUCCUUUAACUUCCAC